ensembl:lncRNA
GCAAAACAUCCAAUUAAUCAAUACUUCACCUGAUUUUUUAAUCGGGAUUAAAAGUUUGUCUUUCUUAAAACUAAAUCGUAGAAGUAAUGAGUUGUUCAAUUCUUAACUGUAUUUUAAACAGAAGCUGCUCCCAUGUGAUCGUGUGGAGGUGGAACAUGUUGAACUAGCGACUCUUCUUGUCCAACAUUUAGCCGUCUUUUAGGGACACAAUGGUGGUCCACUGCACGUUGAGUUGGAAGUAGCCUUGCAGCUAGCUUAGCCUAGCGGCUAGCUUAGCCUAGCGGUGCGUAAAGUGGUCCGUUUGCCACUCUUCUUCUGUUUGUUUUGCUUCCAAAGCAAAAAGCGUCCACAUCUUCAGCGACCGUCUGGCUUUAUCCGACCUGACUGACGACAGCACGCGGAGAUCUUGUUUCUUCGCUUUUCUUUACUUCCGGCAAACUGGAAGACCGGAAGUAAACAAAGUUGCGUUAACUUCAAACAAGUGUUUCCACCGGCGUCUUUCGGGGGAAGAAAUUAAGAGAGAGAACAGAUGUUAAAGUGGAAUCAUCUGCUCACAUGAACGACUAAAGAAUACAGAACACGUGGGUGAGAUGGUGGUUAGAUGCCUGCGUGGGUUCCUCUCCGGGUUCCUCACACGCUCCACAGACAUGAUGCGGAGGUCAAUGGCGAAUUACCUGCAGGACUGUGAACGUGGGAUUGAUGGUUGUGUGUCUCUAUGAAUCAAACUCGACUCGUCCUUCACUCCUCUGCUUGGUGGCCGGACUGGGAGUGAGACUGGGAGGACGAGGAGGGAGAGCGAGGAAGAGGAAGAGGGAGAAGAGAGAAGCAAAGUGAGCGUUUAGCCGCUGGUGUGAACUGCCUGUCGCACCAGACAGAUUCCCUGAUCCCGUAAUGGCUCGGGCUGCCGCUUCCCGGUGCAGAGCCUCCUGGUGUCGGCUGCACAUGCUCCGGAGGCCUAAUGAGGCGGCAUUAGCCGGGGGAGACGCGGUAAUUAGAGCCAACGUCAGCGCCGAGGACAGAUGGCCCGCUAAGACGAGCCUCUCCACUUCACCUCCGCAGAGCGAGUGUGUGUGCGUGUGUGUGUGUGUGUGUGUGCGUGUGUGUGUGUGUGUGUAGGUCCUGACAGGAGAGAGAGGGGAAAGCAAAAUGUGUCAGAAGAGAGAGAGAGAAACGUGUGGGAAGAGACAACAGAGGGAAAAGGAAGUGGAUGGAGAUGCAUAAAUCAAUCAAGCUGCUCGCACCGGAUGCUUCCAACACCAAACGGGCCGGCGAGCGCCGGCAGGCGGAGCGGCGAGGUGACGGUUUGUCUCAACGCUAAAGAGCAGGAUGGAGGAGAUUUGAAGAAAAGGAAACGUGCACUCAUCAAAAAAGAUACAGCAGAAAAAGGAAAAAAGUAAAUACGAGGAACAUACAAAUUCUGAAAGAGAAAUUCUCAUUCUCACUAUUCUAUUCAACGUUCAAAAAGAAGAGGAAAAAGAUGAGGAACGAAAAGAAAAGAAGGAGAAGGGAUGAAGACCAGGAAGCAGGGUUGCUGAAGAGGAAACUUGAGAAGGUGGAUAAAUAGAGAAGAAUGAAAUGUAAGAGGAACGAAUGUGGGAAUUGAUCGCGAAAAGGAAAAGAGAUGUGAAAAAUAUUCAAGAGUGGAGAUGUUGGAGGGAAAAGCAGUGAAAAGAAAGAGACGAGGAAAGAAAUAAAGAUGGGAAAUAAAUGUGUUGAUAAUGGAAAAGAGGAAGCGUCGGAGAGAGACGGAGGGUGAGAGUGUGGAGGAAGG